GAUGAACGCUGGCGGCGUGCUUAACACAUGCAAGUCGAACGGAAAGGCUCCUGCUUUCCGGGGUACUCGAGUGGCGAACGGGUGAGUAACACGUGUGUGAUCUGCCCUGCACUUCGGGAUAAGCCUUGGAAACUGCGUCUCAUACCGGAUAUGACGAUGUUUUGCAUGCCAUUGUGUAAAGUUGUUCGGUUUGGGUUGGGCUCGUGGCUUAUUCGCUUGUUGGUGAGGUAAUGGCCUACCAAGGCGUCGACGGGUAGCCGGCCUGAGAGGGUGUACGGCCACAAUGGGACUGAGGUACGGCCCAGAAUGCUACGGGAGGCAGCAGUGGGGAAUAUUGCAGAAUGGGCGCAAGCCUGAUGCAGCGACGCCGCGUGGGGGAUGACGGCUUUCGGGUUGUAAACAACUUUCGCUAGGGACGAAGAGCAAGUGACGGUACCUGGAGAAGAAGCAACGGCUAACUACGUG
rnacentral:rRNA from 1 species